rnacentral:rRNA from 1 species
GCGAAGACCCUUCCGUUUUCUUGGGGGUGUACGCGAAGAACCUUACCUACUCUUGACAUCCAGAAAACUUUCCAGAGAUGGAAGGGUGCCUUCGGGAACUCUGAGACAGGUGCUGCAUGGCUGUCGUCAGCUCGUGUUGUGAAAUGUUGGGUUAAGUCCCGCAACGAGCGCAACCCUUAUCCUUUGUUGCCAGCGGUUCGGCCGGGAACUCAAAGGAGACUGCCAGUGAUAAACUGGAGGAAGGUGGGGAUGACGUCAAGUCAUCAUGGCCCUUACGAGUAGGGCUACACACGUGCUACAAUGGCGUAUACAAAGAGAAGCGAACUUGCGAGAGUAAGCGGACCUCAUAAAGUACGUCGUAGUCCGGAUUGGAGUCUGCAACUCGACUCCAUGAAGUCGGAAUCGCUAGUAAUCGUAGAUCAGAUGCAGUUAGC